UACAGAGGCCUCGAGCGUUAGGCGGAAUCACUGGGCUUAAAGCGUGUGUAGGCGGACUUCUAAGUACCUUGUGAAAUCCCACGGCUCACCCGUGGAACUGCUUGGUAUACUGGUCGUCUUGAGCCUUCUAGGGGCGAGUGGAACAAAUGGUGGAGCGGUGAAAUGCGUAGAGAUCGGAAAGAACACCAACGGCGAAAGCACUCUGCUGGGCCGACACUGACACUGAGAGACGAAAGCUAGGGGAGCGAAUGGG
rnacentral:rRNA from 1 species